UCUGACCUAGUGUGACUGGUUUCUCUGGCCAAGGCCCCACAAGGUGAAAAGGAAGGUGUUGGAUAGGUGUAUUCUCAUCUGGAAAUCUACAGGCUCCUCCAAAUUCACAUGGCAUGGAGACACCCAAUCUUAGAAGUAUACGCAUGAGGGAGCCACUUCCUUCUGGUUAUCAUCUGAGGGCCACAGUAAGCUCCUCAGACUCACUCCGAGUCCUUUUCUGGUCCACAAUUCCAUCUUCAAGGCCAGCAGAUAAACUCUUGGUCUGGUUGCAAGCCCUGUUGCUUCUGAUGUCCUUCUCUAAGAAGAGGUUUGUCCUCUUCAAAAGCUCAAAUGAUUAGGCCCUGGCAACCAGCAUUGCACAUGAUGUCUCUAUGAAUAUGACUACUCUUAAUAACUCAAAUAAGUUGAAUCAUUUGGUA